rnacentral:rRNA from 1 species
UACGUAGGGCGCAAGCGUUGUCCGGAAUUAUUGGGCGUAAAGAGCUCGUAGGCGGCUUGUCACGUCGGGUGUGAAAGCCCGGGGCUUAACCCCGGGUCUGCAUUCGAUACGGGCUAGCUAGAGUGUGGUAGGGGAGAUCGGAAUUCCUGGUGUAGCGGUGAAAUGCGCAGAUAUCAGGAGGAACACCGGUGGCGAAGGCGGGUCUCUGGGCCGAUACUGACGCUGAGGCGCGAAAGCUAGGGGAGCAAACGGG